CUGCCUAUUUAGAGGACGAAAAUCAUCCUGAUCAAGUUCCAUCACAGGAAAUGGUACGCAAGCCUCAAAAAAGUGCGUAGGUAACAUGAUGUUGAAAGAAUGGGGAGAUUGGAAAAGAAGAAGUAAAUUGAGAGCUGAACAGAUAAAUCAAAAAGUUAACAUAGAGGACAAUGAUGCAUUAGCAACUGGCCUAUCAUCUCAUACGGACAACACCACAGGAGAGUUUUUUUUUAUUUGAACAAUUGAGCUUCGCUUCAAAGAAAGUUGGACGCCUUGAAAAAAAA
rnacentral:lncRNA from 1 species